rnacentral:rRNA from 1 species
AUUGAACGCUGGCGGCAUGCCUUACACAUGCAAGUCGAACGGCAGCACGGGAGCAAUCCUGGUGGCGAGUGGCGAACGGGUGAGUAAAGUAUCGGAACGUGCCCAGUCGUGGGGGAUAACGUAGCGAAAGUUACGCUAAUACCGCAUACGAUCUAUGGAUGAAAGCGGGGGAUCGCAAGACCUCGCGCGAUUGGAGCGGCCGAUAUCAGAUUAGGUAGUUGGUGGGGUAAAGGCUAGACAAGCCGACGAUCUGUAGCUGGCCUGGGAGGAGGACCAGCAACACGGGGAAUGAGACACGGCCCAGACUCCUACGGGAGGCAGCAGUGGGGAAUUUUGGACAAUGGGCGAAAGCCUGAUCCAGCCAUGCCGCGUGCAGGAUGAAGGCCUUCGGGUUGUAAACUGCUUUUGUACGGAACGAAAAGGUUUGGCCUAAUAAGCUGAGCUCAUGACGGUACCGUAAGAAUAAGCACCGGCUAACUACGUGCCAGCCGCCGCGGUAA